GACGAACGCUGGCGGCGUGCCUAAUACAUGCAAGUCGAGCGGACGAUUCGAAAGCUUGCUUUUGAAUCGUUAGCGGCGGACGGGUGAGUAACACGUGGGCAACCUGCCUUGUAGACGGGGAUAACAUCGAGAAAUCGGUGCUAAUACCGGAUAACACUAUAUGUCGCAUGACGUUUCGUUGAAAGGCGGUGCAAGCUGCCGUUAUAGGUUGAGCCCGCGGCGCAUUAGCUAGUUGGUGAGGUAACGGCUCACCAAGGCGACGAUGCGUAGCCGACCUGAGAGGGUGAUCGGCCACACUGGAACUGAGACACGGCCCAGACUCCUACGGGAGGCAGCAGUAGGGAAUCUUCCGCAAUGGACGAAAGUCUGACGGAGCAACGCCGCGUGAGCGAUGAAGGCCUUCGGGUCGUAAAGCUCUGUUGUUAGGGAAGAACAAGUAACGUAGUAACUGACGUUACUAUGACGGUACCUAACGAGAAAGCCACGGCUAACUACGUG
rnacentral:rRNA from 1 species